rnacentral:lncRNA from 1 species
CUGUCCCACCCAGAAGGCUACCCUGCCCCACCCAUUGUGAGCAAGAAGGGGGGAAGAAAUGGACAAAUGUAUCCAAAAGCAGCAGGAAGCAGGCUGUACUGAGAGAAGACUGGCACCCCUGAAGCAUGACAUUAUUGAUCUGACAACUCUGCAAGACCUUUCCAUCCUUGGAACUUAUCAUACUGGAAUUUCUACUCAUUCUCAUCAUAGUGAGCCAUCAAGUGCAUCACUGGGCAGCACACGGAGGUGCA